UACGGAGGGAGCUAGCGUUGUUCGGAAUUACUGGGCGUAAAGCGCACGUAGGCGGUUAUUUAAGUCAGGGGUGAAAUCCCGGGGCUCAACCCCGGAACUGCCCUUGAAACUGGGUAACUAGAAUCUUGGAGAGGUCAGUGGAAUUCCGAGUGUAGAGGUGAAAUGCGUAGAUAUGCGGAAGAACACCAGUGGCGAAGGCGACUGACUGGACAAGUAUUGACGCUGAGGUGCGAAAGCGUGGGGAGCAAACAGG
rnacentral:rRNA from 1 species